UACGUAGGGGGCAAGCGUUGUCCGGAUUUAUUGGGCGUAAAGAGCGUGUAGGCGGCCAAGCAGGUCAGCUGUGAAAACUCGAGGCUCAACCUCGAGACGUCGGUUGAAACCGCUUGGCUAGAGUCCGGAAGAGGAGAGUGGAAUUCCCGGUGUAGCGGUGAAAUGCGUAGAUAUCAGGAGGAACACCGGUGGUGUAGACGGCUUUCUGGACCGUAACUGACGCUGAGACACGAAAGCGUGGGUAGCAAACAGG
rnacentral:rRNA from 1 species